AGAGUUUGAUCCUGGCUCAGAUUGAACGCUGGCGGCAGGCCUAACACAUGCAAGUCGAAUGGUAACAGGAAACAGCUUGCUGUUUCGCUGACGAGUGGCAGACGGGUGAGUAAUGUCUGGGAAACUGCCUGAUGGAGGGGGAUAACUACUGGAAACGGUAGCUAAUACCGCAUAACGUCGCAAGACCAAAGAGGGGGACCUUCGGGCCUCUUGCCAUCAGAUGUGCCCAGAUGGGAUUAGCUAGUAGGUGGGGUAACGGCUCACCUAGGCGACGAUCCCUAGCUGGUCUGAGAGGAUGACCAGCCACACUGGAACUGAGACACGGUCCAGACUCCUACGGGAGGCAGCAGUGGGGAAUAUUGCACAAUGGGCGCAAGCCUGAUGCAGCCAUGCCGCGUGUAUGAAGAAGGCCUUCGGGUUGUAAAGUACUUUCAGCGGGGAGGAAGGGAGUAAAGUUAAUACCUUUGCUCAUUGACGUUACCCGCAGAAGAAGCACCGGCUAACUCCGUGCCAGCAGCCGCGGUAAUACA
rnacentral:rRNA from 1 species